rnacentral:lncRNA from 1 species
GGUUGCCAUCAUAACAGCACUAAUGCACCGGAUCCCAUCAGAACUCCGCAGUUAAGCGUGCUUGGGCGAGAGUAGUACUAGGAUGGGUGACCCCCUGGGAAGUCCUCGUGUUGCAACCCCCUUUUUUUCGUUUUUUGGUUUAUUUUAUUUACUAGUCGCUGUAUCUUUGACGUAGCAUGCGAGCGGCCGAUUUUGUGAAAGGAAGGCUUUAACGAAUGCGCGCGCGCGCACGGCGGGCCCGAGGCGCGUGACGUUGGGAUCCAGGCGUGGAAAGGUAUAAAGGAAUAAGGAGAAGGUAUUCUUUCGGUUGCGAUCAUACCAGCACUAAUGCACCGGAUCCCAUCAGAACUCCGCAGUUAAGCGUGCUUGGGCGAGAGUAGUACUAGGAUGGGUGACCCCCUGGGAAGUCCUCGUGUUGCAACCC